UACAUCAAAUGACUAAAACACCUUCCUCUCGUACUUAUCUUCCUUUUCUGUCCGAUCUUCAUCUUCUCAAGCUCAAGUGCUCAAAUCUCGGAGUCCGCUUCCAAUCCAUCACUUCCAUGGCUUCUCUCAUCAUUAUCCGUAGAAAGCUUGCUACUAGACCCUUCAAUGUCACCUACACUCGAACGUUCUCCCAGCUGUCCUCAUCAGGGGAGAAAGCCGCUCGACAGCGGAUUGAGAAAAUUCUGAUAGCCAACAGGGGUGAAAUAGCAUGCAGGAUCAUAAGGACUGCGAAGAGGCUUGGUAUUCGGACUGUUGCUAUUUACAGUGAUGCUGAUAAGGACUCGCUCCACGUCCAAUCGGCUGAUGAAGCCAUACGGAUUGGACCCCCUCCGGCUCGGUUCAGUUACUUGAAUGGGCCCUCCAUUGUUGAUGCUGCCAUACGUACUGGUGCGCAGGCUGUCCACCCUGGAUAUGGUUUCCUAUCCGAAAGUGCUGAUUUUGCCCAGCUAUGUGAAGAUAGGGGUCUUACCUUCAUUGGCCCUCCAGCAUCUGCCAUCCGGGAUAUGGGUGACAAAAGUGCAUCAAAGAGGAUAAUGGGGGCAGCAGGGGUGCCACUUGUUCCUGGAUAUCAUGGAAAUGAACAAGAUAUUGAUAAAAUGAAGUUGGAAGCUGAAAAAAUUGGAUAUCCAAUCUUAAUAAAGCCAACCCAUGGAGGUGGAGGAAAGGGCAUGAGGAUUGUGCACACUCCAAAUGAGUUUGUUGAGUCCUUCUUAGCUGCACAGCGUGAAGCAGCAGCUUCCUUUGGGAUAAGCACAAUACUGCUGGAGAAGUAUAUUACACGGCCAAGGCACAUAGAAGUCCAGAUUUUUGGGGACAAGCAUGGGAAUAUUCUGCAUUUAUAUGAGAGAGAUUGCAGCGUGCAGAGAAGACACCAGAAAAUAAUUGAAGAAGCCCCAGCCCCAGAUGUUUCUACAGAUUUUCGUGUACACUUGGGUCAAGCUGCUGUCUCUGCAGCAAAGGCAGUUAAUUAUUACAAUGCUGGGACAGUGGAGUUUAUAGUUGAUACAAUCUCUGGCCAGUUUUACUUUAUGGAGAUGAAUACCCGUCUUCAGGUUGAGCAUCCAGUCACAGAGAUGAUUGUUGGUCAAGAUCUUGUAGAAUGGCAAAUCCAUGUUGCUAAUGGUGAAGUUCUUCAGUUGAGUCAGUCACAAGUUCCGUUCUUAGGUCAUGCUUUUGAAGCUCGAAUAUAUGCAGAAAAUGUUCCAAAGGGGUUUCUUCCAGCAACUGGAGUUCUUCAUCAUUAUCAUCAUAAUCCGGUCUCCUUAACAGUUCGAGUGGAGACUGGAGUUAAGGAAGGUGACACUGUCAGCAUGCACUAUGAUCCCAUGAUUGCUAAGCUUGUGGUCUGGGGCAAAAAUCGUGCUGCAGCUUUGGUCAAACUGAAGGAUUGUUUGUCAAAAUUUCAGGUUGCAGGGCUACCAACCAAUAUCAAUUUUCUUCAAAAGCUUGCGAACCACCAUGCUUUUGAAAACGGCAAGGUGGAGACUCAUUUUAUUGAUAACUACAAAGAUGAUCUCUUUGAGGAUCAGAAGAACUCUGUUUUAGCUAAAGAAGCAUAUGAAGCUGCCAGGCUUAGUGCAUCCCUGGCGGCUGCAUGUCUCAUUGCAAAAGAACAUUUCAUGUUGACAAGAAAUCCCCCUGGGAGUGGCAGCUUACAUCCUAUAUGGUAUGCUUAUCCGCCUUUCAGAGUACAUCAUCAAGUCAAGCGUAGUAUGGAACUUGAAUGGGAUUAUGAUUAUGAUAGUAGUAACUCCAAGCUUUUGAAGCUUACUGUCACUUGUCAGCCUGAUGGCAGAUACCUGAUUGAGACGGAAGAACAAGGAUCUCCUGCUUUAGAAUUCAAAGCAACAUAUUUAAGAGACCAUUAUUUUAGAGUUGAAGCUGAUGGUGUGAACAAAGAAGUUAAUCUAGCUGUCUACUUAAAGGAUCACAUUAGGCAUAUUCAUGUGUGGCAAGGGUCUUGUCAUCAUCAUUUCAGAGAAAAAAUAGGGCUUGAGUUGUCUGAGGAUGAUGAAUCCCAACAUAAGCCCAAAUUUGAAGCAGCAGCCCACCCUCGGGGUACUGUUAUGGCCCCCAUGGCUGGCUUGGUGGUUAAAGUUAUGGUGAAGAACAAGACAAAAGUAGAAGAGGGGCAGCCUGUAUUAGUUUUAGAAGCAAUGAAGAUGGAGCAUGUUGUAAAGGCACCAUCAUCUGGCUACGUUAAUGGGCUUCAAGUUACGGCUGGUGAGCAGGUUUCUGAUGGUAGUGUUCUUUUCAAUGUAAAGGAGUCAGGAUGAAUAAAUCGAUACAUAGAACACUGCUUCCAACCAAGCUCUUGUCAAGGGAGACCUCUUUCUGGAUGAUUAAGAUUUAAGAGCGAAGUAAUCACCUGGCUUUCACAACGCCUGUUACAUGCCGAUGAAUUGAUUCUGAACAAAAUAGGAAAGUCCUUAUCCACCACGUUGAAUGCUUGUUCAUCAAUCCACGAAACACAAAUGGGUGCUUGGGGUAUGGAAUGGGAGGCAAAUAAGGUUUGGCUUCAGAGGGAGAAUGCCCACUUUUAGCUCCACUAUCGACCUCUUGGGGUUCCUUACCAUUCUGUAUGGUGACUGUCAUAACUUGCUCUUGUGGAUUGACUUCGAUAUUGCUUGGAAGUUUAUUUUGGCUCUUUCUAAUAACUAAGCUAGCCAAAUUGCUUAUUUGAUCUCCAUAUUCCCCAAAGAAUUACCUAUUCGAGAUUCUAUAUUCUUCAUAAAAGCUUGAGUUGAAGUAACUGUUUGUUUAAGUUGGUCAAUCUCUUGAUUCAUACUCUUCAUACUAUUCACUUAGUGAUUUGCCAUUUGAGCCAAAGCUUCUUCCAAGUUCAUUGCACGAUCGUCAAUUGUGUUUCUUUGUUAUUGAAAGCCUGAUGGUGCUUAUGUCUUUUGAGUGCUAUAAUUUUUUCAAGAGAAA